CCUACGGGAGGCAGCAGUGAGGAAUAUUGGUCAAUGGACGAGAGUCUGAACCAGCCAAGUAGCGUGAAGGAUGACUGCUCUAUGGUUGGUAAACUUCCUUUAUAUGGCAGUAAAUUUUUCCACGUGAGUAAUUUUGUAUGUACCAUAUGAAUAAGGCUCGCCUAACACCGUGCCAGCAGCCGCGGUAAUACGGAGUGUCUGUGCGUUAUCCGGAUUUAUUGGGUUUAAAGGGAGCGUAGGUGGAUUGUUAAGUUCGUUGUGAAAGUUUGCGGCUCAACCGUAGAAUUGCAGUUGAAACUGGCAGUCUUGAGUACAGUAGAGGUGAGCGGAAUUCGUGGUGUAGCGGUGAAAUGCUUAGAUAUCACGAAGAACUCCGAUUGCGAAGGCAGCUCACUGGACUGCAACUGACACUGAGGCUCGAAAGUGUGGGUAUCAAACAGGAUUAGAUACCCGUGUAGUC
rnacentral:rRNA from 1 species